ACUAUUUUGGCAGAUUAAAUGUGAUGAUUUUAGAAGUCAUUAAUAUAUAUAUAGAUAAAUUAUAUAGAUAGUA
rnacentral:tRNA from 1 species